UUUUACGAGCCCUAAACGGCUAAACCCUUCAUCAGAGGAAUUGAAACCGGCCUGCACAAUCAACAUUCAACACUCACGAAACGGAAAACCUCCAUUAACGAAAUCGAAAGUACCAUCAAUACUCACGAAAAUUGAAACCCUCCAUCAGCAAAUGUGAAUCGCGAAAUUGAAACCCUCCAUCAACAAAUUGUGAAUCGCGAAAUUGAAACCCUCCAUCAAUAAAUUGAGAAUCGCGAAAUUGCUGCGAGUGAUUCAGAGACAAUCACUUAGGCACCGCACAAAGCCGUCGAAUCAACAGUAGCGAUCCCUUCCAAAACGGUCUUCGAAACAUCGCAGUUUCAUUUUUUCCGAGUAGUUCAUCGGGUACUUUAUUUGAGGUGAAUCCUUCAAAAACCUUCUUCGGUUCGAAUCAGGCAUCAAUUAUAUUGGGAGGAGGUGCAGGAGCUCAACUAUUUCCUCUUACCAGCAGAACAUCAACACCCGUUAGCAAGAUAGAUUAUGUUAAUGUUGGAGGAUGCUACAAGCUUAUUGAUAUUCCGGUGAGUAGCUACAUCAACAAUGGUAUAAACAAAGUAUUCAUAUUAAUUCGGUUCAAUUCAGCUUCCCUAAAUCUCCACAUAAACUGCACUUGUCAUGGUCGGAAACAGUAUCAACUUUGGAGACGGACUUGUGGAGGUUUUGGCAGCUACACAAACAUAAGGAGAAAGUGGAAAGAACUGGUUUCAAGGAACAGCUGAUGCUGCCAGACAAUUUAUAUGGCUUUUGAGGGUGCGAGGAAUAAGAAUAUCAAGAAUGUUCUGAUAUUGUAUGGUGAUCAGCUCUACACGAUGGACUAUAUGGAUCUUGUGCAGAGUCACAUUGACAGAAACUCCGACAUCACAGUUUCUUGUGUUCCUGUGGGUGAGAGUUUUCCAGUUUUGUGAAAAACCCCAGGGGGGAUGACUUGGAAUCUAUGCAAGUGGACACCCAAAUCCUUGGAUUAUCUCAAAAAGAUGCAUCAAGUAACCCUUACAUUGCAUCCAUGGGAGUUUAGGUGUUUAAGAUAGAUGUUCUGCUUAAACUUCUAACACAGGCAUACCCAAGAUGCAAUGACUUUGGGUCUGAAAUUCUUCCUCCUGCUGUGAAGGGUCAUAAUAUUCAGGUUAGAACAUGGUACAUAAGGAAGAAAUCGGGGAGACUCAUUAAUAUAUGAAAUUUACGAGUGGGGACCUUCUACUAUAACAAUACAUGGACAAUUCCGGCAACAAACAUAUAGCAAACUUGUUGAUUGGUAAUACAUAAACACGUGAAAAAUCUCUAGACUCGUUACAAGUAUCCCGAAGGAGAUGAUCGUUAUAUUGUGAAGCUAGUCGUGAUAAAGAUCGAAGGUUUCCUUUUUACUUUGAUUUAUUUUCCCUAUUCCGUUCUUAAAGUUGUGUGUAGGACAACUUCUGUAUAUCUCUACGUUUACUCCAAGAUUAUCCAUCAUGACAUUUUGUUACAAGUACUGUUAAAUUUAUUUGUCUUCCCGCCCUCGUAUGUUAAUUAAUAUAUGUGAUUAUUAUAGUAGGUGUGAAUUGUAGUGAUGCGUGGCAUUAUACG